AUUGAACGCUGGCGGCAGGCCUAACACAUGCAAGUCGAACGAGUGGCGGAUGGGUGAGUAAUUUCUGGGAAACUGCCUGAUGGAGGGGGAUAACUACUGGAAACGGUAGCUAAUACCGCAUACCAUCGGAUGUGCCCAGAUGGGAUUAGCUAGUAGUUGGGGUAAAGGCUCACCUAGGCGACGAUCCCUAGCUGGUCUGAGCGGAUGACCAACCACACUGGAACUAAGACACGGUCCAGGCGCCUACGGGAGGCAGCAGUGGGGAAGAGUGCACAAUGGGCGCAUGCCGGAUGCAGCCAUGCCGCGUGUAUGAUGAAGGCCUUCGGGUCGUAAAGUACUUUCAGCGGGGAAGCGUUACCCGACGAAGAAGCACCGGCUAACUCCGUGCCAGCAGCCGCGGUAAUAC
rnacentral:rRNA from 1 species